UUGCUUGUAUUUGUUCCCUUUGAGAUCUAUCGAAUACAAGAUCAGAAGAUCACAGUAAUUAAUACUCUAUUACAAUAAACGAACAAAAGACGAUUGAAUCUUAAACAUGGACGAUAUUCAUCAUAUCGACAUCUAUCCGAAGUUCCCAAUAGCAAAGAACAGUAAGAUAUAGCUUAAACACAGAAAACGCUAGCAUGAAUCAUUGAAUCUUAAACAUGAUGCCCAUCCGUUGUCGAAUAGUUUUAUUCCCCUUGCCAUCUAACCCGACUAGCCAUCAAUCCAGCAUCAUGCGCCUUCCACUUCUCAAAGCUUCAAGGUCAGGUCGACCUCCUCACCGUCUCCGUCGUCGUUAACCUGCUGCUCCGCCUCAUGCUGCUCCAUGACCGGCUGUGCCGCUGGCGCUGCCGGCAGCCCGAGGAAGUUUAUCUCCACCGGAGGGCGCCCUCCAUGGCGGUACUCCGCCCAGAAGAAGUAGUUGCGAGCCAACAGCCACGGCCCCCGCAGAGUGCAGACGGGAAGAGUCGGGACGGGUAGGGGCUGGCUUACCGGCGCGUCCUCCUGGCGGCGGCGUUUCUUGAGGCAGGUGCGGUUGGACAUGUGGCCGCCAAGGGCCUGGACUGUUGGCCACCACUUAUCGCAGAGAGGGCACGGGUGG
rnacentral:lncRNA from 1 species